UGCUAUUGUGACUACGAUAAUGUUUAUUUUUUAUAAAAUGUCAAAAUAAUAAACAUUACGCAAAUAAUUUUUUAUCCGAAAUUUCUCGAUUAUGUUUAUUACAGAGUCAGUUGCGGUGUGCAAAUUGGUUGCGCGAGAAUAAUGCAGCAGGAAUAAUGGUCGCCGAGCAAUUUCCCUUGUUUAAGCUGGCGACGCAGAUAGCACGCCAGCUAAGUUCACCAGUGGCAAGUCGAGUCAAGGAUUUUGCGAAGUCAAAUCCCCGCUUCAGCGUCGCCGUAUGUGAACGAGUUGCGAUAUUAUAUCGUGAAGCGGAGUGGCGCGCGCGCAUCACAGCUUUGCGACUUGCAGGAACCGCAUCACCCGCAUUGAUGGCUUCGCGUGCCCCACCAAUGCCACGCCGACAAGCCCUCGAGCUCGGAGGAGAUCUUAUCGGUGAAAUGGUGAUAUUUAUCAUCGGUUCUAUGAUAAUAAUAUUCGAAGUAAACCGCCAAGCAGCAAUCAAGGAGGCUAAGUGAUUUAGCAGUUAGUCGGCAAUUAGCAGGCGUUAGAACACAAGUCGGAAUGGUUGUGUGUUAAGCUGUCUCUAGAGGAAGUGCAACGGGAAGUGCAGGCACAGCAGGUUGACCUGAACCGCCUGCAUGCUGCUCUUAAGGCACUAUAUGAACCAACUCCACCCGCUCCUAGCACUCCGCACACAUAAGCCAAGAAGAAAAAUUAUGGUUUCCAAUACCAGAACCAUUGCCCAAAAGUACGAGGCUUUGAAUGGUCUUAAGUCGAAGCGAAAAAAUUGGCGAGAGUCAGUGGUCUUAAAAUCUGGAAUAGUUAAUAAAUAUUAAGGUUUCAUAGUUUCACGGCUAAGGGUUUGAUUUAUAAUGACAAAAAUGGGACGCCGUCAAUAAUUAACAUAUAUAAUCUAAGUAGAUCAUAUUUUUAAAGAGAAUAAAUAUAUGGCUAGUAAAAGCACCCAACAGUAAAUGUAUGUAAUAAAAAUAGUCGCUUCUCUUAAAAGUUAGUCUUACCAAGUACUAGUAUACAUACCUCCAAUACUUGCCAUCGUUAACAUUUUCAUAACAAAGCUUAUCGUAGUUGCACCCUCAGCAUUGUUUCUCGCACGUUGAAAUCGUCUGAAAACUGUUUAACGGUACGAAUUAAAUACAACCUGUAGUUAUAAUGUUAUAUAUAAUAUAUUAAAUUAACAAUUGUAUCGAAAUGUGACCAGUUUUUUCUAUAAAAUAAGAAAUAAUAGUUAAGACAUCUUAGUACGAAUCCCAAAAAUUAAACGGUUUUGAUUUUUA